ACGAACGCGAGCGGCGUGGAUAAGACAUGCAAGUCGAACGAGAUUUUUUCCUGUAGCAAUACAGGGAAAAGUCUAGUGGCGAACGGGUGCGUAACACGUGGGCAAUCUGCCUUAAAGUGGGGGAUAGCUCGGCGAAAGCCGAAUUAAUACCGCAUGUGAUCAGGGGAGACAUCUUCCCGAAAUCAAAAGUGGCGCAAGCUACUACUUUUUGAGGAGCCCGCGGCCUAUCAGCUAGUUGGUGAGGUAACGGCUCACCAAGGCUUUGACGGGUAGCUGGUCUGAGAGGACGACCAGUCACACUGGAACUGAGACACGGUCCAGACACCUACGGGUGGCAGCAGUCGAGAAUUUUUCUCAAUGGGGGAAACCCUGAAGGAGCGACGCCGCGUGGAGGAUGAAGGUCUUCGGGUUGUAAAGCGCGAAAGUGGGGAGAAAACCGCAAGGUUGAUCUAUCCACAGUAAGCUCGGGCUAAGUUCGUGCCAGCAGCCGCGGUAAGACGAACCGAGCGAACGUUGUUCGGAAUCACUGGGCUUAAAGGGCGCGUAGGCGGGCUGUCAAGUCUGGGGUGAAAUCCCGCGGCUCAACCGUGGAACUGCCUCAGAUACUGACGGUCUCGAGGGAGGUAGGGGCGAGCGGAACUGAUGGUGGAGCGGUGAAAUGCGUUGAUAUCAUCAGGAACUCCGGUGGCGAAGGCGGCUCGCUGGACCUCUUCUGACGCUGAGGCGCGAAAGCCAGGGGAGCAAACGGGAUUAGAUACCCCGGUAGUCCUGGCCCUAAACGUUGGGUACUAGGUAGUAGACUAGACAUGGGUUUACUGCCGAAGCAAAAGUGCUAAGUACCCCGCCUGGGGAGUAUGGUCGCAAGGCUGAAACUCAAAGGAAUUGACGGGGGCUCACACAAGCGGUGGAGCAUGUGGCUUAAUUCGAGGCUACGCGAAGAACCUUAUCCUGGACUUGACAUGUGCGAAAGCGCCAGCAGGUAGAACCCGGAAACGGGAACGAACGGUAUCCAACCCGGAAGCUGGCACAGGUGCUGCAUGGCUGUCGUCAGCUCGUGUCGUGAACACAAUCGCGACCUGCCGGAGCGAUCCGGCAGAAAAAACCGACUCAUAACGGUGGAGUCCUCCACGAGAGGAUAAUACCGUGGGAAGUCGCCGGAUGUCUGUGGUCGAGCGAGGCCAACGAGCCUCGCCCUCAGUGACACACCCGUGUCACACUUCCGGUUGACCCCGUAACGACUUCGCCUCGUCGGCAACGACAGAGGCGGGAUGGUGAUCCGGUCCUUGGGGGAACUCAGGGAACCAAUCUACGGUCGCCAUAACACGUCGGCUCUCACGUUCGACCGCGUGAGAUGAAGGUAUAGUCUAAGCCCCGAGUAAUCGGGGACUCACUUGGAGAUGUCGGGUUAAGUCCCAUAACGAGCGAAACCCUUACCCUUAGUUGCUACCAUUCAGUUGGGCACUCUAGGGGGACUGCCGGUGUCAAACCGGAGGAAGGUGGGGAUGACGUCAAGUCCUCAUGGCCUUUAUGUCCAGGGCUGCACACGUGCUACAAUGCCGUACACAAAGCGACGCGACCACGUGAGUGGAAGCUAAUCGCAAAAAUUACGGCCCAGUUCAGAUCGAAGGCUGCAACUCGCACUUCGUGAAGCCGGAAUCGCUAGUAAUCGCGGGUCAGCAACCACCGCAGGUGAAUGUGUUCCUGAGCAUUGCAC
rnacentral:rRNA from 1 species